GCCUAUAAAGCAGUUUAUGCGGUGGUUUUGUAAACCGACGGAGACGGGUUGUAAAGCCGUUUUAGGUA
rnacentral:tRNA from 1 species